GACGAACGCUGGCGGCGUGCUUAACACAUGCAAGUCAAACGGAAAGGCCCUGCUUUUGUGGGGUGCUCGAGUGGCGAACGGGUGAGUAACACGUGAGUAACCUGCCCUUGACUUUGGGAUAACUUCAGGAAACUGGGGCUAAUACCGGAUAGGAGCUCCUGCUGCAUGGUGGGGGUUGGAAAGUUUCGGCGGUUGGGGAUGGACUCGCGGCUUAUCAGCUUGUUGGUGGGGUAGUGGCUUACCAAGGCUUUGACGGGUAGCCGGCCUGAGAGGGUGACCGGCGACAUUGGGACUGAGAUACGGCCCAGAGUGCUACGGGAGGCAGCAGUGGGGAAUAUUGCACAAUGGGCGGAAGCGUGAUGCAGCAACGCCGCGUGCGGGAUGACGGCCUUCGGGUUGUAAACCGCUUUCGCCUGUGACGAAGCGUGAGUGACGGUAAUGGGUAAAGAAGCACCGGCUAGCUACGUG
rnacentral:rRNA from 1 species